GUGUCAGCCGCCGCGGUAAUACGGAGGAUCCAAGCGUUAUCCGGAUUUAUUGGGUUUAAAGGGUGCGUAGGCGGCCUAUUAAGUCAGGGGUGAAAGACGGUAGCUUAACUAUCGCAGUGCCUUUGAUACUGAUGGGCUUGAAUGUACUUGAGGUAGGCGGAAUGUGACAAGUAGCGGUGAAAUGCAUAGAUAUGUCACAGAACACCAAUUGCGAAGGCAGCUUACUAAAGUAUGAUUGACGCUGAGGCACGAAAGCGUGGGGAUCAAACAGGAUUAGAAACCCUCGUAGUCC
rnacentral:rRNA from 1 species